rnacentral:rRNA from 1 species
AUUAACGCUGGCGGCAUGCUUUACACAUCAUGUCGAACGGUACAGGCCGCAAGGGUGCUGACGAGUGGCGAACGGGUGAGUAAUGCAUCGGAACGUGCCCAGUCGUGGGGGAUAACGCAGCGAAAGCUGUGCUAAUACCGCAUACGAUCUAUGGAUGAAAGCGGGGGACCGUAAGGCCUCGCGCGAUUGGAGCGGCCGAUGUCAGAUUAGGUAGUUGGUGGGGUAAAGGCCCACCAAGCCAACGAUCUGUAGCUGGUCUGAGAGGACGACCAGCCACACUGGGACUGAGACACGGCCCACGACUCCUACGGGAGGCAGCAGUGGGGAAUUUUGGACCAAUGGGCGCAAGCCUGAUCCAGCAAUGCCGCGUGCAGGAAGAAGGCCUUCGGGUUGUAAACUGCUUUUGUACGGAACGAAAAGGUCCUGGCUAAUACCCGGGGCUCAUGACGGUACCGUAAGAAUAAGCACCGGCUAACUACGUGCCAGCAGCCGCGGUAAUACGUAGGGUGCAAGCGUUAAUCGGAAUUACUGGGCGUAAAGCGUGCGCAGGCGGUUGUGUAAGACAGGCG